GGAGAUUCAGUCGAGCGGCUACAUGUUGUUGAUUGGGGUAAGUCUUCGACUUUUUCUUAUUCAAUUUCUGAAUAGUCAUUAGCUGAGUAGGUGACUUAACUGCUUUUUCUAUUUUGUAGAUGACCCACAACCUUACCAAUUUGGCUAAGGGGUUGAUUGGGUUCGAUCAACUCAAUGCCAAGCUGAAGGAGUAGGCCCAGACUUCUCGGGC
rnacentral:lncRNA from 1 species